rnacentral:rRNA from 1 species
AUGGCAGAUCUGGAGCAGAGGUUGAGAUUCGCCAUGGUGGCGUAUGUGGCCGGAGCACGCCACGACGUCGAGCCGGAGUUCGUGCUUCAAGCCCUGGAGGAAAAGCUCGACAUUCAGUCACAGUGGGUCUCAGUUCAUCGCUAUUGGCCUAAGGAUUUCCUUGUCGUCUUCGCCUCCGCUGAGAUCAGGAACAGAGUGAGCUCGAGGCCGCCGCUAGAGCACCGUGGGGUUAAGCUGUUCUUAAGGCAGUGGACAAGGCAAGCGCAGGCCGUCCACUCCAUCCUCAGCCAGAGAGUGUCGCUAGUGUUGGAAGGCAUCCCGCCCCAUGCUUGGGAGAGAGAUACCGCCGAGGACCUGCUGGGUUCGGCAUGCCUGGUGGACACUAUCGUGCCAGACACGAGUUCAAGGAGAGAUCUUUCCGCUUUCAGGCUCACUGCUUGGACGGCGAACUACGAUAGCAUUUCGACGCUCCGUUGGUUGGCGGUGCCUAAGCCAGGCUUGGUGGCGCCAUUGUUCGAGACCACCAUGCUACAAUACAAGGUGUUGAUUCACAUUGAGGAGAUCAGGGACUUUGGAGAGUUCAUGGAGCCGCCGUGGACGGUGCCGGUGUCCUCCGACAGCGGUCAGAGUGGCCUCCCCAGUCCCGAUGGUGGCGGCAGCGCUGGUGGCGGGGGAGGCGCGGCCUUCCGUCCCCACUGGCAGUUCAGCGCCAGGGAUCAGCGCGGUGGUGUCACCGCCGGUUCCUCUCGGAGUCGCGGUGGUGUGGGGGAGUCCCCGGCUGCUUCGCCGGCGACCGCGGCCUGGGCACUGCCGCCCAUGGAGCCCAGAUCAUGGAUUGCAUCAGCUGGUCAGCUACAACCUAUAAAGGAGAGAAUCGCAGUCCGGCACCCCGCUUUUGACCGCUUGACGAUGCCAGCUGGACCAAUGGAAGGAUCAAUAGAGGGAAUUUUAGAUCAAGAGGUGGUUACUCCCGUGCCAACAAUGAUUGGGACGCCUGGUGGAACGCGUUCUGGGAUUCUGCGGGGGGGGGGGGCAGAUCGUGGGGGCCUAGCCACGCAGCCCAACUAA